GUAGUCUCGCACAGAUGCAUAUCAAUAAGCGGAGGAAAAGAAACUAACGAGGAUUCCCUUAGUAACGGCGAGUGAAGCGGGAAGAGCUCAAAUUUGAAAUCUUCAAGGUUUUACCUUGACGAAUUGUAGUUUAAAGAAGUGUUUUCUGUUGAAGUUUUGGUAAAAGUUCUUUGGAAUAGGACAUCAUAGAGGGUGAGAAUCCCGUAUUUGACCAUUAUUUUCAGCUGUGUGAUACACUUUCAAAGAGUCGGAUUGUUUGGGAAUGCAGUCCAAAAUGGGUGGUAAAUUUCAUCUAAAGCUAAAUAUUGGCGAGAGACCGAUAGCGAACAAGUACCGUGAGGGAAAGAUGAAAAGAACUUUGAAAAGAGAGUUAAACAGUACGUGAAAUUGUCAAAAGGGAAGCGUUUGACACCAGUGUUGUUUUCUCGAAAAUCAAUUAAAAAGAGUUAGAUUUUGUUGUGUAUUGACCUUAACAGCUUGCAUUUCAAUUUUCUUGCUUUUUUUAAUGCACUUUUCGUUUAACAAGUCAACAUCAGUUUCUUUUGUUGUAAAAAGAGUCAUUGGAAGGUGGCUUUCUUUUCGGAGAAAGUGUUUAUAGCCUUUGACUCCUGCAAUCGGAGAGACUGAGGUCUGCAGCGUAGAUCCUUCGGGGUUAGAUACAUUUGUGCUAAGUUAUAGCUUUUUAUAGACAACUUGUUGACUAUGAUUAGUCUUGUAGCUUACUCGCUUAUGCUAUUUUACCUACGCUUAGGAUGUUGAGCGCAUGUCUCUCUCU
rnacentral:rRNA from 1 species